CCUUCAAAUCCAAUCAAAAACAAAUCACAAACGAAACAUUUCAAAUUGUGCAGAAGCAUUGACUAAGACUAGGCCACACUGACACUUUCA